UUUUCUAAGAGACAGCCGCUAAACUACAGUAUUGUACACAGUAUUGGGAAACUGGCUGGCUAGCAUCCCAAGAAAAGCAAAGUGUUGAUGCUUAAAAGACGUACAGUUUGGAGAAAGGACAGCGACGCAGAGUUUGUUUUGUUUCUCUUUAUGUGCUGGAAAGGUCCAACGGUAUAAAGGUUUUACUAAGACUGAUAAGUUUGAGGGUAUCUGGUGGCCUCUCCUGGUGUUUGUUACUUGAUCGGGAGAGCACAGUCAACCUCUUACUCUCACAGCUCAAUUUUUGGAGACAGUUUAGGAUGCAACUUUAUGCCAGGGUGGCGAACCUCAGUCUCAGGGGCCGAUCCUCUCUGUUUGGCUCUCAUGGCUCUUCCCUGACCAUCCCUGCUCUGCUCACACCCUUCAUGUACCCCAAAUAUUUUUGCCUGACUGGAAUUUGCAUUUGACCUCUGAAGAGUAGAGAAGCCCAUGUGAGUGUGUGGAGAAACUAGGCUGCUGAAACAAAGGUAAAAUGUGUGUUUAUUGCUCUGCCUACUUUUACCUCUGAGAUGUGGUCCCAGGAAGGAUGAGAAGAAGACGACCUCCAGGCUAGCAGAUCGGGAUAGAUGCUCAUUGUCAUCGGGCAAAUAAGAACAAAUGCUCAAUGAGGAGUGGAUGCUGUAAGCUUUGUACAAGCAGGUACCAGGAUGAUAAUUCCAUCAGCAGGUUGUCUGGGUGAGACGCAGGUGCCCAUACCAAACAAGAAAAAUAUCCUCUUUGCAUGAUGAUACCUCUUUCAUGCCCUACCUAAAAUAGCCGCUCACCCAGUACCGGUGGUGGGCCACGUUUGCAGCCCAGCGUGCGACUUCCCUGUCUUCCCAAAGCCACGCUGCUUUGGUCGGCCAUCGCUCCACUCCCACGGCUGUCACAGAGCCUGCCAGGAUCCCGCCAAACCCAGAUUCAAAUUUGGCCUAUCCAUGGCAGCCAGGGGGGCAGGGCAACUAAAGCACACCGAGUUGUUGCAGGCUCCACUCCGGUCCGCUCAUGACAAAUAACGAGGGAUGCGCUAGAGUGCCCUCAUGCUGAAAUUGCAAUAGGCAGGCACUUCGCACGGUCCCCAGGAUGCUCAUUCAUCUGGGCAAGAAUGAUCUGGUUGCACAAAAGAGCAUCAAUUUAAUCAUGGCAGCAAUCGUGGACAUUGAAAGAAUCCAGGCAAUGUGCCCAGACAACACCAUCUUUUGGUCUGAGCCCCUUUGCCCCUGCGAUGGAGAGGGGCCUUCAAGCCUUCUCACCUCAAUUACACCUUCAUAAAAACCAACAGGGCUUUACGCAAUGCGGCCCUGUGUCUUGGUGGCCGAGGGAUCAGACGUCCGGACCUUAAAACUACAAGUUGGACCUUUUCAGACCUGGCGGAGUACACCUCACUGCUAUCGGGAACGAACAUUGAUUGGGAGCUAUGAAGCAGGAAUGGUUUCAAUUGUAGGUGGUCUUUGCAGUGAGAUUGCGAUUUUGCAGUCUCGAGUGGCGGGUUUUAGGCCUUGGGCGGAAUCCUUUAGUCUGAUAACUGAUGAAGGGCUGAAGUAGUGACUCACCCCUUCCGUGAUGGCGAUAACACAGUACCCUGUUAGAAGGGUCUUGAGGGGAGUCUCUUCCACAAGCGCACAACAGGUGGGCCAUAGAACUCCCCCCUGCAUCGCGUCUGCGUAAACACGUUUUGCUGUGGUUCCAUAUUCGCAUUUGACCCUGCCAUGCCUCAGACCCCCAGCAGGGGGCUGAGAGGGAUACAUGCCUGGUGCUAUGCCAAGGUUUCCUAUGUCUGAAAUUUAAAUAAAGUUGUAAAGUUGUAGCCAAUUUAUGUUCUCAUGUCUUCUCCUUUGAUAUCAGGUCCAGCUUCUGGGGAAAGGGGGGGGGAGAGUAUGUGGCUGGGCAUGCAAAGAAAUGCUUGUCCAUGCUUAAUACCUCCACUCAAAUGAUAUCCUUAAGUACAAUACCUGAAAGAGCGUCUCCACCCCCAUCGUUCUGCCCGGACACUGAGGUCCAGUGCUGAGGGUCUUCUGCUGGUUCCCUCACUGCGAGAAGCAAUGUUACAGGGAACCAGGCAGAGGUCCUUCUCGGUAGUGGCACCCGCCCUAUGGAACACCCUCCCACCAGAUGUCAAAGAGAAAAACAACUAGCAGACAUUUA